UACGUAGGGGGCAAACGUUGUCCGGAAUCAUUGGGCGUAAAGAGCGUGUAGGCGGUUCGGUAAGUCGGCUGUGAAAGUCCAGGGCUCAACCCUGGGAUGCCGGUCGAUACUGCCGGACUAGAGUUCGGAAGAGGCGAGUGGAAUUCCCGGUGUAGCGGUGAAAUGCGUAGAUAUCGUAAGGAAGACCAGUGGCGAAGGCGGG
rnacentral:rRNA from 1 species